rnacentral:rRNA from 1 species
AACGAACGCUGGCGGCAGGCUUAACACAUGCAAGUCGAACGCAUCCUUCGGGGUGAGUGGCAGACGGGUGAGUAACGCGUGGGAACGUGCCCUUCAGUUCGGGAUAACCCAGGGAAACUUGGGCUAAUACCGGAUACGUGCGAGAGCAGAAAGAUUUAUCGCUGAAGGAUCGGCCCGCGUCUGAUUAGCUAGUUGGUGGGGUAAUGGCCCACCAAGGCGACGAUCAGUAGCUGGUCUGAGAGGAUGAUCAGCCACAUUGGGACUGAGACACGGCCCAAACUCCUACGGGAGGCAGCAGUGGGGAAGAUUGGACAAUGGGCGCAAGCCUGAUCCAGCCAUGCCGCGUGAGUGAUGAAGGCCUUAGGGUUGUAAAGCUCUUUUGUCCGGGACGAUAAUGACGGUACCGGAAGAAGAAGCCCCGGCUAACUUCGUGCCAGCAGCAGCCGCAG